CCCUUAGAUGUUCUGGGCUGCACGCGCGCUACACUGAUGCGUUCAACGAGUGUAUCACCUUGCCCGAUAGGGUUGGGUAAUCUUUUGAACACGCAUCGUGAUGGGGAUAGAUUAUUGCAAUUAUUAAUCUUCAACGAGGAAUUCCUAGUAAUGAUGGAUCAUCAGUUCAUCGUGAUUACGUCCCUGCCCUUUGUACACACCGCCCGUCGCUCCUACCGAUUGAAUGGUCCGGUGAAGCGUUCGGACCGUGGCCUUUGGACGGUUCGCCGUCUGUUGGCUGCGGGAAGUUCGUUAAACCUUAUCAUUUAGAGGAAGGAGAAGUCGUAACA
rnacentral:rRNA from 1 species